CAAUUAUUUUAUGUUGUUUCUUCUCGAUUUUAUUAUCAAUUACAAUAUUAUGUUAAAUAUAAAGGCACAAACAAUGAAAAGUAGUUAUCUAAUUUCUAGAUUCCUACGAGUCUAUUACUUGUUUCAGUACAAUCUUUGAUACAUAGUUGUCACUUAACGUUAAUAUAAAUCCUUAGCGAUAGGAAUACUCAUUAUACCGUUAAACCUAAAUCUUUGAUGUUGAACUUAAAUACGUUUGUUAUUUCUAGAUAUUCACAACCCUAUGUAAGAAUACGUUCAACGUUAAGAUUAUUCUUAUACUUUCACAUCUAUAACAUUUCUACUUCAACAUCGAACGAUCACCAAUAGGUUCUACAAAUUUCUCCGUAUAUAAAUUCAACAUUAUA
rnacentral:misc_RNA from 1 species